GUUGAGCGGGAGGCUGACUGAGGAUGGAUAAACAGAGGGUGGGAGGGAAGGACGGUAAGAGACAGAAAAAGGAGAGGUGGUGAAAGUGAGUGAGUGAGAGAUGGGCAGGGAGGUAUAAAGAGAGGGAGGGAGUUAUCUACAAGAGGCAGCCAUAGAGGGAGAGGUGACAGAGUAGAUUAUCCUCUCCUCCCUGCCAGUCUCACCAUGUUCAUGCUGCAGACGCUGACUGUUCUCUCGCUCACUGUCAUCUUCCUGGCAUCUGUAGAAGGUAAAGGCGUGCAGAUGCAGAGGGAUGUCCAGUGUUGCAUGCUGUACUCCCAGGGUAAGGUGCGUACCAAAGAUGUGCUGCGGUUUGAGGUGCAGACGGAGGGGCCCGACUGCAGCAUACAAGCCAUCAUACUUUACACGAAGAAGGCAGUGAAAUGUGCGGACCCUAGAGAUCGUAAGGUGAAGAGGUUGUUGAGGAAGCUUCUGCAGAGACAGAGACUCAAGAACCACAGAACCAUGUGGCUUCCUCGCGACAACCUGCCCGCCAUGUCAGAGGUCAGGUUUGAAUGACCUUGCAGCUGCUGUUACUCACUAACUACAUCUGUCACCAAAGCCUUACUAUCUUCCUCAUGUGAGACGGCACACUGAGUUAUCAGUGAGGAGCUAAGGAGCCUUAGCUCAUUUUUAUUUAUUUUGUAGAUCAAACUGUUGCACUGAUGUAGAGUUGUUCAAGAAGUACAGAGCUUGUUUUUUAGACUCUAUUUUUGUUGGUCAAACUGCUGUAUUGAGUUAAAAAAUGCUGAAUCCUAUUUUACUAUCUGUUUUUUUUUUGUUUUUUUUUUUUUACUUUAGAAAGAGGCAGAACCAGAAAGAGGUAGCAGUGGAUAAAUAAUCUGGUAGCAGACACAAGCCAGGAGAUUUGUGUCUGCUACCAGACUGUUUAGCUUGAUAGUUGUGAGGCAAAUAAUAAAGUGUUAAGUCCUGGAAUGACAGUCAUUAUGUUGUUAUUAGAGUUACGGGUUACUAAGCAACGUGUUGAUGACGGCAUUGUUUUUAGUAUUUCUGCUCAAGCUAUUUACGGAUCUGUCAGGUUUGUGAUACGUGUCCCCUCAGUGAUGCCCCUGACCGAUACCUGCUUUUCCAUCCAAGCUGCACUUCCCUGCCCUCUCCAGUGCUCUUUCCUACACCGUCACCUCUGACAGAACCUGACCGACUGGUGGUCUUAUGUUGGGUAUCUGUUUCUGUUCACCAGAUCACUGACACAGAAUCUAAAGAUUAGGGUGAUGGGAGGUAGGCAUCUCAACAUUAAAAGCUUAAAGCUCAUCCCAAAAGAUUAAAUGCCACAAAUACCAAUGCAAAAAGCUGGUCAGCAAGUAAAAAAAAUCCCUUCAUUGCUCUAAUUGUUCAUGGAGAGAAUGGCAUAAAUAAUUUGACAUGUUGAUUUUUGUUGAAAUAAAAACAGUGUUACCUCUCAUACAAUGCUUUUUUGCCUUUUGGAGUACUUCUAUCUGAUUUCCAAUGUGAAAAAUCCUUCUUGGUUGAAUGAAAAUAUUUCUUGGG